rnacentral:rRNA from 1 species
AUUGAACGCUGGCGGCAUGCUUUACACAUGCAAGUCGAACGGAAGCGCGGGCUUCGGCCUGGCGGCGAGUGGCGAACGGGUGAGUAAUGCAUCGGAACGUGCCCAGUCGUGGGGGAUAGCACGGCGAAAGCCGGAUUAAUACCGCAUACGACCUGAGGGUGAAAGGGGGGGACCGAAAGGCCUCGCGCUAUUGGAGCGGCCGGUGCCGGAGUAGCUAGUUGGUGGGGUAAAGGCUUACCAAGGCGCCGAUCCGUAGCGGGCCUGAGGGGGCGACCAGCCAACCUGGACUGGGGACACGGCCCAACUCCCUAGGGGAGGCAGCGGGGGGAAAUUUUGACAAUGGGGGGAAACCCUGACCAAGCAAGGCGGGGUGGGGGAGGAAGGCCUCCGGUUGGUAAACCCCUUUUUUUGGGAAAGAACCCAUGUGGAUAAAACCCCGGGGGGAUGACGGUACCGUAAUAAGAAGCACCGGCUAACUACGUG